ACGAGCGGAUUCUAACCCCAUUGUCAUGUAGAAGACUACGAUUGCAGUCACUAGUGAAAAGAUCGCGAGAAAAUGCCAUUUGGAUUCAUCUUGAUAACGGGCCUGUUAGCUUUCGGCGCCUACUGGACAACGAAAUAUUUAAUGAGCAUGCCUGAACCCCACUCAGCAUCUGUAACGCCACCCGCGACCGUCCCUGAACCAGGCGCAUGGAAAAUAUA